rnacentral:rRNA from 1 species
GACGAACGCUGGCGGCGUGCUUAACACAUGCAAGUCGAACGGAAAGGCCCUGCUUUUGUGGGGUGCUCGAGUGGCGAACGGGUGAGUAACACGUGAGUAACCUGCCCUUGACUUUGGGAUAACUUCAGGAAACUGGGGCUAAUACCGGAUAGGAGCUCCUGCUGCAUGGUGGGGGUUGGAAAGUUUCGGCGGUUGGGGAUGGACUCGCGGCUUAUCAGCUUGUUGGUGGGGUAGUGGCUUACCAAGGCUUUGACGGGUAGCCGGCCUGAGAGGGUGACCGGCCACCUUGGGUCUGAGAUACGGCCCAGACUCCUACGGGAGGCAGCAGUGGGGAAUAUUGCACAAUGGGCGGAAGCCUGAUGCAGCAACGCCGCGUGCGGGAUGACGGCCUUCGGGUUGUAAACCGCUUUCGCCUGUGACGAAGCGUGAGUGACGGUAAUGGGUAAAGAAGCACCGGCUAACUACGUG